UUGAUACUCAAUUUGAUCUCAAUUGAAGUAUUACAACCAUAUCCUUGCAGGUAUAGGAAACAGCUGCAAUAUGAUUUUAAUAUUUGCAAUAUAUUAGUGUUUUCAAUGUAUUCUGACAAUGUAAAAGUUCCUAACCGCAUGUCUGCAUUACACCUAUAACCCAGACUGUCAGUAUUGCAAACCCUAUAUGAAGACUCUGCUUUCACUGUUUAUGUAUACACCCCUAGACAACCGUGCUAUACAUGCACAAUAAAUCUUCAAAAGCUUAUUAAUAUUAUAUCUGUGUGGUACACAAAGAGGUGUACACAAAGAGGGGGUGUGAGUUAGGUCAUCUCGACCUGCAUAUGGAAUAUGCUUCCUCCUUGUUCACUUUUGGUUAAACUGUUGGUCUGUGACUGGCCCUCUUUGACCCCAACUGAAUUUCUUGGGAAGAUUCAUGAGAAAGAUACAGCAGGUUGUUUUGAUAUAAAGAAAGAGGGAAAAGUAUGUUGUAUUGGUCACAAAAGGAUUGUAAUCUUAAGCAGGCGAGACAAAGAAAUUUUGGAGGUGAUAGGAGAUUGAAUCAGAAAAGUUUUAGAGGCAGAGGUAGAGAAUUUGAUCAAAGGAUCUAACUUUUGUAGAGGUAGUAACUUCAGCACUGUUUUAAUUGUGGAUAGCAGGGAUUCACCCCAAGGUGCUCGUGGUGAACCCAGUUCUACCUGUCAAGCUGGCCCCACUGGUAUUGCUGGUGUACCUGGCUUCAGUGGUGCCUGUGGUGCUCCUGGACCUCAGGGCCCCAAAGGUUCCCCUGGACCUAAGGGUAACAAUGGUGAACCUGGUGCUCAAGGAGACAAAGGAGAACCCGGUGCUAAGGGAGAACCUGGCCUAGCUGAUGUUCAAGAACCCCACCCUGGCAGGUUCCUCAAUACCAACCACAACUUUCAAGCUAUACCGACACCCAACAACAGCCUAAUACACAGAUGGUUCAUGUUUUUAAUACUUUAUAUAUCGUUUUGAUAGAUAAAACAGUAUUAAUGCUGGCUCUUAGAGGAUGUACAAGCUGAAGUUGGGACCUAGACAUUGUUUGCAUAGGCUGUGCAAUGUGAAAUAACUAAAAUAAAAUAGGAUAAUAAGUAUGCUUAGUCAAUUUGUAAAGUGGUAUAAUAGAGGCAUCUGCAAUAAAAUAAGUGGGUUUCCAAGACCUGACAAGUGAGAGCAACUUAAUAUAACAUAUGUCUACAGUUUGCUGUCCCUUCCUUAUCAGAGGCCACUUGCAACACAGCAAGACAACUCUUCUGAAACCUGUAUUAAACAAAGCACUUUAGAACAAUAGUAAUUUAUUUUGUUUCUCCUAUUUCAUUCCUAGUUGUUCUGAAAAAAAAAAUAUUGUUUAAGUGGGAUAACUGUAUGGAGGUUCCAACAUGUAUUAAAACAUGAUCACACACAUCGGGAUCUAUAAAAGGUUUCGGUUUCCAAAGAUGUUAUCAGGGUCCACAAAACUUCCAAUUUUAUUAAAGUAAUUAAUUGGGAUUAUCAAAUCAAGGUUUAAAUUUACAGCAUUUUAUUGGGAAUUAUACCAAUAUGUAUAUGUUAGUGUUUGAGUACUCAACAAGCAUAUAUAUAGAAUGAGUGCUUCUCUCAUCCAUACAAAGGCAUUCUAAAGGGAAAUUAUGUAUUAAAAUUUUAUAAAGGACAAAUUCAAUGAAUUAUAAGCAAAACUAAGCGAAGUACAUGUUACACUAGUUAAGAGUUUAACUUUAGUUUCUAAUUUGAGUUUAGCCUAGAUAAUUAAUUUAUUGAUGUCGUACUGAUCCUUGUGUUUGUAUGAUUAUAGAGACCGUACUGGAGUAUUUGUGCUGCCUGAUAUUUGGGACUACACACCAAUCUCUCUGGCUGACCUACCUGCCUACCUACCUUUUUUGCAAUUAAAUCUGUUUGGUCAAAAUCCAUGCUGGCUGAAGAAACUGAGAUGCUUACUUAUGAGGACAUAAACUAACUUGGAAAGUCCUGAAGAUGCAGUGCUGUCUAAUGCCGCUAUUUCUGUAUUACCCUUUCAACAAUUGGGGUGUUGGAGUAUUGGAGUAUUGUGGUGAACAUCCAGCAAACAGAAGAAUUAAGAACUAUGUGGAAGCUGACAUUGUCUUGUUGUCAGCCAUAUUGCUACCCUUAGCUAUAUUAUGGUGUCUAAGAUUAUGGAACAAAGUUUAUGGUGUCUAAGAUUCUUUAUACUCCUUGAAAGACUUAUAAUAUUUUUCUGGACUAUGCUGGACUAUUGAACUAUUUUGUUAUUUUUAUUUUUGUAGAGUUAGCCGGAGAGAGAGGAAGUGUUAGCUUACUCAGGCAUGGAUGUACUAUGUGUGUCAUUGAUGUAUGUUGAGUGUACCAAGGAUGGAUUCCCAUGUAUUAAGUGUGGAUAUGACUGGACCGUCAAAAUAGGGAUUUGAUUAGGAGGCAUAGGACGCAAAGUCAUGAUUGGGAUUAUUGCUAGAAUUGCAAACUGAUUAGAAAUGAUCUUAUGAUUUAAUAUGUAAGUGGGCCUUUUCAAACUAAUCAAGAAGUGUUUCCCAAUCCCGAUACCUGAGCUAUUUACUUACAAAGUGCAGGUUUUAUAAGUCACUAAUGCUGUCAACGUGAGGGGAUGACAUGUUUACACAGUCAUGGCCCUCACUUAGAAUUUACCCAGAUGUGCUUUUUUCCUCAACUAUGAGUUUUUGCCACUGGGUUUUUUGACCUGGCCCAAGUUCACUGGGUGGACUGGUCCAAAGAGGGGAAAUAGAUUUUAUUCCCAUUUUUGAUUAUAUGUGUUUACGUUGUGAAUUAUAAUAAUAAUAUUCCUCGUUGUUGGGAAUAAUACACUUUGCCUGUUUUGAUCCAAGGCUCAAGUUGCAGAUAACAUGAUGUGCAGUCUGUUUAAAAUUGGUUAAGAUGUCAGCUGUUUGAAAUUUUUAACAUGUAUACUUAAAAGAUGUAUACAACAGAUGAUUACAGAAGCUGAAAAUUGACAGCUCGAUCUCCUCUUAAAGGGAACACCUACGGCACAGAGCAAAUGGGGGAAAUCGAGGUGAAGAAAUAAUGAAAGUCCCGCAGACGUGAUUAGCACGUCUGAACAUACCUCCUUUGGUUUCUCUGCCGCAGGCCUCCCAUGGAUAUUCCAUAAGGUAGAUCAUGAUAUGAUCUAAGAAGGGAAUUGUAGAUGCGAAUAUCCAUUAUGCUCAAUAUCCUAGCUGUUCAUAUAAGGGUUAAUUUGACCCAAGAAUAAAUUUGGAAUUGUAUCUCCAAUUCUCGGAAAUAAAACUUAUCUAUGUACGGGUAAUGUUAUUGGAACAUGAUUUUGGAUAUCUACAUGACAUGACAUGACAUGAUAAGGAUUCUGGAAUAACCUUGUUAAUUGUCCAUGAUUUUGG
rnacentral:lncRNA from 1 species